ensembl:snRNA U6 U6 spliceosomal RNA
GCGCUUGCUUCAGCAGCGCGUGUAUGAAAAUUGGAACCAUCCAUCCCCUGCACCAGGAUGACAUGCAAAUUUGCGAAGCGUUCCAUAUUUUU